rnacentral:rRNA from 1 species
AGCCUUUAGCCAAACAAGUAUUAAAGGUCCCGCCUGCCCAGUGAAAUUUUUUAACGGCCGCGGUAUUCUAACCGUGCAAAGGUAGCGUAAUCACUUGUCUUCUAAAUAAAGACUAGUAUGAACGGCUAAAUGAGGACAACCCUGUCUCCUGCGGCCAAUCAGUGAAACUGAUCUUCCAGUACAAAAGCUGGAAUAAAAUCAUAAGACGAGAAGACCCUGUGGAGCUUCAAACCAAAUACUACUAUCAGCCUAGUAAGAGGUUUUAAGUUGGGGCGACUUCGGAACAAAACACAACUUCCAAGCACAGAGACAUAAAUCUCUCUUUCAGGCCAACAUGCCUAAAACAUAUAAACGACCCAGUCAUACUGACCAACGAACCAAGUUACCCCAGGGAUAACAGCGCCAUCUUCUUCAAGAGUCCAUAUCGACAAGAAGGUUUACGACCUCGAUGUUGGAUCAGGACACCCAAAUGGUGCAGCCGCUAUUAAGGGGGGCGGAAAAUACAAACGAUUAACAGUCCU